ACGUGGUCACCCCCCCCCCCUUUCCCUUUAAUCCAGUACCGUAAAACCGCUAUCCCUAAAGUUUGUAUUAAAAAAAUAUUUUCAUAGUAGAGUCAAUGUUGGCAUUAUGAAGACAACCGUAAUCUAAUGUGACUCAAAUCGUUACAUUCUAACCAUGCAAUUAGUCAUCUGAGUUUAGUUCUGAUCACUUGUAGCCCGGUAAAGGUCGGUGUUGUCUUACGUAACAGGUUCAAAGUUCAUGUGCCACCUAGUGGUGAGAUAAUCCCCUUCAAUCGUGAUAAUUCUUCGCUACGUCACCGAUAAGAGAGACGAUAAUCUCCUCCCAGGGGGUUUAUGGGUCUUUAUCUAUAAAGCUGAAGCCUUUUGGGUAAUAUAUAUAUAUAUAUAAUGAUGUUUUAUUUAAAAAAAAAUGGAUGUUGGUCUGUAAGGUGUCAUCGUAGCAACGGUAAUGUGUUAGCUAUGUCGUUGUGUGUGUGUGUGUGUGCGUUGUGUGUAGAAGUGGCUCGAAACGACCAAUAUGACUAUUAUGUUGAAGAUAUUUAUGUAUGUAUAGACAGAGAGAGAGAGGGGGGGG